CCAAUAGCGUAUAUUAAAGUUGUUGCAGUUAAAAAGCUCGUAGUUGAAUUUCGGGGUUAGUAGGUUGGUCAUGCCUCUGGUAUGUACUGGUCUCACUGAUUCCUCCUUCCUGAUGAACCUUAAUGCCAUUAAUUUGGUGUUUUGGGGAAUUUGGACUGUUACUUUGAAAAAAUUAGAGUGUUUAAAGCAAGCUAACGCUUGAAUACAUUAGCAUGGAAUAAUGAAAUAGGACGUUCGAUCCUAUUUUGUUGGUUUCUAGGAUUGACGUAAUGAUUAAUAGGGAUAGUUGGGGGCAUUAGUAUUCAAUUGUCAGAGGUGAAAUUCUUGGAUUUAUUGAAGACUAACUACUGCGAAAGCAUUUGCCAAGGAUGUUUUCAUUAAUCAAGAACGAAAGUUAGGGGAUCGAAGACGAUCAGAUACCGUCGUAGUCUUAACCAUAAACUAUGCCGACUAGGGAUCGGAUGAUGUUAAUUUUUUAAUGACUCAUCCGGCGCCUUACG
rnacentral:rRNA from 1 species